UACGUAGGGGGCAAGCGUUGUUCGGAAUUACUGGGCGUAAAGGGCGCGUAGGCGGCAUGGCAAGUCGGGAGUGAAAGGCCUGGGCUCAACCGAGGAACUGCUUUCGAGACUGCCAAGCUAGAGUGCGGAAGGGGCAUCUGGAAUUCCCAGUGUAGCGGUGAAAUGCGUAGAUAUUGGGAAGAACACCUGAGGCGAAGGCGGGAUGCUGGGCCGACACUGACGCUGAGGCGCGAAGGCUAGGGUAGCGAAAGGG
rnacentral:rRNA from 1 species